ACAACAAGGCACUAGGGGCGACGCUGGCCUCUGACACUAGCUCCAGGACCGGGGUCUGCGGCCGGCUUCUAGCAGGCCCCGUCUCCCAUCCCCAGACGCAUAUUCACCAGGGAUUGUGAGCUUUGGCUGCUCCAGUUUCCCGCGACAUGAUGUUCCCUUUCUACAGCUCCUGGAGGACUAGAAUGCUACUGCUGCUACUCCUGGCUGUGGCAGUGAGAGAAUCUUGGCAGACAGAAGAAAAAACUUGUGACUUGGUAGGAGAAAAGGGUAAAGAAUCAGAGAAAGAGUUGGCUCUAGUGAAGAGGUUGAAACCACCGUUUAAUAAAAGCUUUGAGAGCACUGUGGGCCAGGGCUCAGAAACAUACAUCUACAUAUUCAGAGUGUGCCGUGAAGCUGGCAACCACACUUCUGGCGCAGGCCUCGUGCAAAUCAACAAAAGUAAUGGGAAGGAGACAGUGGUAGGGAGGCUCAACGAGACUCACAUCUUCAAUGGAAGUAAUUGGAUCAUGCUGAUCUAUAAAGGGGGUGAUGAAUAUGACAACCACUGUGGCAAGGAGCAGCGUCGUGCAGUGGUGAUGAUCUCCUGCAAUCGACACACCCUCGCAGACAAUUUUAACCCUGUGUCUGAGGAGCGAGGCAAAGUCCAAGAUUGUUUCUACCUCUUUGAGAUGGAUAGCAGCCUGGCCUGUUCCCCAGAGAUCUCCCACCUCAGCGUGGGUUCUAUCUUACUUGUCACGUUUGCAUCACUGGCUGCUGUUUAUGUUGUUGGGGGGUUCCUAUACCAGCGACUGGUGGUGGGAGCCAAAGGAGUGGAGCAGUUUCCCCACUUAGCCUUCUGGCAGGAUCUUGGCAACCUGGUGGCAGAUGGCUGUGACUUUGUCUGCCGUUCUAAACCUCAAAAUGUGCCUGCAGCGUAUCGUGGUGUGGGGGAUGACCAGCUGGGGGAAGAGUCAGAAGAAAGGGAUGACCAUUUAUUACCAAUGUAGAUUGCACUUUUUAUGUCCAGCCUCUUCCUUGGUCCCCCAAACCAAAGCUACAUAGCCAGAUUUCUCAAGCAGUCUCAACUCCAGUCUCUCAUUUCACCCUUACUACUGCUCUUGCUUUCCAGUUUGCUUUUAAUUGGCAUCUUCUCACUAGUAGAACUGCCUUCCCUUUGUUCUCUAUUUUCUGUUUUUUCUCUAGAGAGGUACAGUUGUGAGAGUUAGUAUCAUAAGGCCUGUGAAAACAGAGGCUUUUGCACUCUGUUGACAUCAGAAGGUACAAUAGGCAUAUGGGCAGACUGAUGUGACAGGCUCACCGGCCCUUUGUUUUUUAAACACAUUUUCACAAGUUUUUGAGACACUGGAUUUCUUUAAUUAAAAAAAAAAAAA